AAGUAAAAAUAAUCAGCGGUUUCAUCUUUGAAUUAAAUUUGAAAAACGGGAAUGUCAGUUCAUAUUAUAUAUUAAUUUUAGAAAGUGUUUAAUAGAAAAGAACAGUAAAGAUGUGAGUUUUAUGGCAUUAAAAAGAUGACUUCAAAAGAAAGAGUUCUUGCGAGACGACUAGCCUAAAAUAACGAGAAAUAAGCUUCUGUUUCUGUCUGUUAGAUUGAAUGCAAAUAUCAGAUGUCAUGAAUGCCUCGGAGGAAAGAAAGCAAUCUGAAACAUUCGAAGAUAUUUUGAAGGCUCAAGAAAAUAUAUCUUUUUGGAGCUACCUGAGUACUGAACUAACCAGAGGUUAUGUGCUUGAGAAUGAUGAAGCACGUUACAUGCAGAAGAGGGAAAGAGUUUACACAUUUAUACGCAUCCCUAAAGAACUUGAAAAGAUGAUGAUCUAUGGUUUCUUCCUGUGCAUGGAUGCAUUUUUGUUCAUCUUCACAUUCCUACCACUGAGAGUAAUCAUUGCCUGUCUUCGGCUCCUCACGUUCCCUUGUUCACCAAGAGGGAGAUCUCGUUUAAAGGCAGCUGAGAUAUGUGACCUUUUGAAAGUGGUCAUUUUGGUGGUAUGCACCUAUCUGCUGGACAAACUGGACAUCUCCAUGCUUUACCAUAUAGUCAGAGGUCAAGCAGUCAUCAAAUUGUACAUCAUCUAUAACAUGUUAGAAGUUGCAGACAAACUUUUUUCAUCUGUCGGUCAAGACAUACUGGAUGCCUUGUUCUGGACGGCUACAGAGAAACGAGAUAAGAAACGUGAACACCUUGGUAUUGUUCCCCACAUCCUCCUAGCCAUCAUUUAUGUCACGCUUCAUUCUAUUUUAGCCAUAUUCCAAGCUACCACCCUCAACGUUGCAUUCAACUCCUUCAGCACAGCUCUUCUUACCAUCAUGAUGUCAAAUAAUUUCGUGGAGCUGAAAGGAAGUGUCUUCAAGAAAUUUGAUAAAUUCAACUUAUAUCAGAUAUCCUGCUCUGAUGUAAGGGAAAGAUACCACUACAUGGUUCUGUUGUUUUUUGUGGUGCUUCGCAACAUGGCAGAAUUUUCUUGGAGUUUCGAUCAUUUUUGUAAGAUGUUACCAGAUGUUAUAAUGGUUCUGAGUGCCGAGAUACUUAUUGACUGGGUCAAGCAUGCUUUUAUCAGUAAAUUUAAUGCUCUACCAGCAUCUACCUACACAGAGUUUAGAGCCAGCCUUGCAUAUGAUAUGGUUAUUAGCAGAAAAAAAAAUGCUUUCUCGGACCAUUCAGAUCUGGUUGCUAGGAGAAUGGGCUUCAUCCCAUUACCGCUCGCUUGCGUGGUGAUAAGGAUUAUUAGACAGACUGUGAAACUAGAUUGGAACACAGCAGUAGUUCUCAUUAUAUUCCUGUAUCUAUGCUUGGUAGCGUUCAAGAUUCUACUGAGUAUAAUCCUCAUGGGCAAGGCAUGUCUGUAUGUCAGGGAGGCUGGUCUAAUGGAACAAUUACUCAAAAAGAAGUCGGACCCUUCUAACACUACCACCUCCACCUCAACUCCAGCACCACCUGCAAAAUCAGCAUCGGAACCUCAUAAGCAAAUGGCCACACCUCCGACAAUAGCAAAUCUAAGGAUUCCAUCGGUGGACCCCGCAAUGGUGGCACCUAUAUCACCAACUACGCUACAAUCCUUGACCUCGGCACCGCUGCUCGCAUCGGACAGCAGUAUUGGUGUACUCUCUAGACAUGUGGAAGCCGGAGAAGCCGUUCGGAGACCAAAAGGAGCCUUCACACCUAAAGCUCAACCAACAGAUAUCUCACAGAUUGAUAGAUAUACGCUGUGUGGGAAUAGAAUUGUAUGAUUAUGGUAUAUGAAUCAAAUGUUUCUUUGUUUUAUAUUUAUAUAACUAUUUAUUAUAUUUUCAUCUCAUUACUAUGAUGUUGUGAUUAUCCGCCUGUUGUCCAAUUGCCUUACAAAUUUGAAAAGGUUGAAAUGAAGAUUUGUCCAUUGUGGGUGACUUAUACAUGUAUGAGGACGAACUGAUGAUAGACCAAAUUGUAGUAGACGAGUUGGCAAUUGGACGAAUCGGCAUUAGACAAAUUGGAAAUAAACCUGGACAUGUAGGAAGUCACACAUAAUGUAUUGCAUUACUGGCAAUAUUUUUCACCAUCGCCACUAAUAUAUUUCAGUCAGAGGACUGUGUUUGACGCAGGUAUGAGUGAUAAAUCUAUAUCAAAGAUUUUUCAAAUAUUCAAAAGUUUAUUUGUGCUCGGUAAUUCUCGUGUGCUAUUAAGAUACUCAGUAGUCUGUACAAAGAAUGCAUAAAUUGUAUAUUGUUUCAAAUUCCAUCUCAGAAUUUAUCACUACAUUCACAUGCAAAACUGCAAAUCAAUAGUGUAUACAUUUAUCUGUUAAUAAUUAAUGCUAUUUGUUCUGUUAGAACCUGUUUUAAGUUACAUUCUGUUGUAUUUUUUCUUUUGUCUAUUUUUGUUGGGGGGGGGGGGGUGGCCACAAGUAUUACUGAUACCUCUUAUUUUGUUAUUUUUUAUCUGGUGCUACUAAUGAACUCCUGCUGCAGUACAAUUUCCUUGCACCUUCAGAUUUUGCUGCAUUUGAUAGUAAAGUUGUGUGAGGAAAGAGUUAUUGAAGUUAUGUUCAUAAAUUUACCUAAGUUAUCUCUUACGAGUAAUAAAUAAUUGAUGAUAUGAGUCUAGAUUAACUCGUUAUAAUAAUAUUUAGCCACAUUCAAAUGUUGGUAGGUCAGAAAUUCAUUGCCUUUAUGAGAAAGUGGUAUCAAUGAAAUUUGCCAAGGCAUUAUUGAGAGUUAUUACUUAAAAAUUGUCCAGUACUGAAGUACUACAUUAUAUGUUUAUUGUUUUGUAAUCUGUAAUACCAAAUUAAUUUGAAUAAAGUAAGCAAAAGUUAGAAUAAAAGAAAACAGUAGUUCCACUUGAGGGGGUUGAUGUUAACAGCUCAUUUUUGUGGGAGUAUUUUAUUUUACUAUAUCAUUUAAAAAAAAUAACCUCCAGGACUUUGAUUCAGGAUUUGAAUCUCAAGAAAUUUGAAAUUCCUUUGACCAGGUAGAUUUCAUGCACUCAUGAAAGAAAGGAAUAUUAAAUAUUUCACAUAUUUAUACAAAAGAAAAAUUGAGCUAAUGGUAUCAGCAACUAAAUUUUAUGCACAAACACCCAUCACUCUUUCAAAAAACUGAUAUGAAAAAAAAAUGUUAACUUUGUACUUUUUAUUCCGUUUUGGUGAAAUUGUGACUGGCUGUACUGUUUAUAUGUGUAAUAGUAGACCAUUCAUUCAAAUCUUAUUUCAUGCCAGUAUAGAGUACCCCUUUAAGGGUGUCUAUUAUUGCUUUCAAUAAUGCAUUCCAAGCCUUUAUUUAGUCACAGGUAUUUACAUUGAAAUUGUAUGAAAAACUCUAUAACUUUUGCCAAGAUUACUUUUUUGAUUACCCUGUACCCUUUGAUAAUACAUCUCGGCAGACAAUCAAAUCCAUGUGUGAGCUACCACCCUAAACCAGCAAUAAGUCGCACAAAAUUAUACUUGUGGUUAAGAGCUUCAAAAAGGAAAAGGAGAAAACAAGGUUUGAAGUUUUAGGUUCACUCAAGCAAGAAAUAUGCACAUUGUGCAUAAAGAAGAAUAAUUUUGACUCUGUUAACACCGUAUUGAUGAUUAGCCAUUUAAAUAGAACCUACCCUUGCGACUUAGUUUGUUUGGAGAUGGUUGGUCACAUUCAUUGAACAAAUAUAUCACUGUGUAUGAUUCAUGUACAGUAGACUAGUUACUAAUGUUGAGUGACCGAAAGGUAAAAAAAUAACUGGUUACCGUGAGGUGAAAAAUAAUUGUACUAUUAAUUGUUUGUAAUGUCUAAUCAAAGAUUGCUUAUCAGUAUUGAUGCAAAGUUAUGUUCUUAUGAUGGCCAAUUAAAAUCAUCACUUCAAAUUUGA